GGUCUUAUAGUUCAAGGGAUAGAAUAGAAGUUUCCUAAACUUUAGAUUCCAGUUCGAGUCUGGAUAAGACCAC
rnacentral:tRNA from 1 species